rnacentral:lncRNA from 1 species
CCCACUGGGCUCACCUACAUUUCAGGGGUAUCCUGGGACUGAGGCAGAGGCUUUCACCUGGGGCAAUAUUAACACUCAGCAAAAUUAGGAAGGAGGAUGAAGGAAUCAGCAUGGUGGAGUGGAAAUAUGGUGCACAUUUAGUCAAAAAGAUUUGGAUCUGAAUUCAUAGCCGUGUGGCCUGGGGCAAGUUGUGAAGAGGGGAUGGUGCCAUCUGCUUUACAGGAGAGAAAUCUAGAAGUGGAAUUGCUGAGCUGUAGAGUAUGUGAAUCUCUACAACUUUCAACUUUACCAUGUAUUGUCAAAUUGCUCUCCAAAGUGAUGGUACCAAUUAAUGAUACUACCAAUAAGCUUUGCUGCCAGUUUUCCAUCCAUCCCCCGGGGCUGAGAUGAGGUGAGAGGUAAUCCAGGAUAGGAGUCCCUCUGAAGCAAACAGAACAUCCAUCAAAGACCCGAAAGAACAUAAGGCCGCAAAUCCUAUCUAUGAAGAUAGGCACUUCCAUUCAUUCUGAAGUCCUCACAUAGUAGUUAUUCAGUGAAUGUACCCUGGGAUCCACUUUUCACCUUUCCCCUUACCUGCUUUGUGCUUCAAGAAACUGACUUCAACAGACAGCAUCAUCUGGGCUUCUUUACCCUGUAGUGUUCAGCUGAGUUCAGCCAAUGGAAGACACUAGUAGAAGACUGGAAGGAUAGAGGAGAGAAAGAUUGGAAUAUUUAUUCCCAUCUCAUACUACAGUUUUUGUAGUGAUGGUUCUUCCUAUUGGACAGCUUCCACCUAUAACUACAGUUCUCUCCUGGUUCCAGAAACUGCUUUCUCCACUUCUGACCUAGGAGUAGCCACAGCUCCCAGCUGUUGUUAGACCCCAGGUGUAUUUUGUCAUCUCUUGUUACUUCCCUUAACCCUGCCACAGCUCUGAAAAUAGUCCAGUAAUUAAAUACUUUUUGAGCUAUU